UCCUCUGUACCUGCAAACUCAACCAACCGCAGGUCACGCAGCACCGUUAUUUACGGGAAAAAACCCAUGGGUAAGUGGACCACGCUGUUUCAGCCCGUGUUGUUCAUGGGUCAACAGUAUUCCCCGUACGAUCACUUUCCUGACACAGCCCUUCUGACGGUCUUCAACGUCGUAACCUGUGUCCCUCCUGGUGACCUCGAGGGCGGCACCACAUCUGCCACUGGCCUGCGGGUUUCAAGUGCUGGGCGGGCGCCCUACCGGUUGGGGGUGAGGGUGUGCGUGUUGGUCUGGGUGAGUACACAGUCGUGCUCUGCACUACAGGACUUGUGCGGGCAACCAUGGCUUUUUAAGAAGUGCCUGGUUCACGGAAAUCUGCACACCCUUCCUGUUCCCAGCAGUUCAGGCUGGAGAGAGCCAGGGACGGAACAAAGCGCCGAUUCAACAGUGGAGAGGAGAUCAUUCUGGUACUACUUUCAAAGAUUUUAUACUGAAAGCACUUAUGGGCGCAGCAAAAUUCUUGCUCUGCGAAGACAGCUAGGGUCCCUCCCUUACGAAGGAGACCUGAGACAGCCUCGCUCCGGUUUUGCCUGGAACUGCAUUUCUGCCCGGCUAUUUCAGCCCCGCCAGGCGCACGCGGUCGGCGUCGACCCGGACUCACCGAGAGGAAUGCUAUCUGUGUAGACCAACCUUGGAAGAAUUUAGAGAACAAUCAUGAAAUGAUUUGUUGGGUUCUGUGGUUCAGAUGAGAAAGGCUGGCUGAGAGCUAACAGACACCCUAACUGUCAGAUCUGGAAGACUGUGAUCACGAAAGGGCCACAGAAUCCACAAAGCUUAGUGGACACACCCUUAAGUGAAGAACUUCCUAAUUCCUUUAAUAGUUUACAAACUUCAUGAACGUCUCAAUGACAUUCCCUGACGUGAAGAAAAGCAUUACGGCGACUGCUUUUCUUCAGUCGGCAUGCAUG